rnacentral:rRNA from 1 species
UACGUAGGGUGCAAGCGUUGUCCGGAAUUAUUGGGCGUAAAGAGCUCGUAGGCGGUUCGUCGCGUCGGCUGUGAAAACCCGGAGCUCAACUCCGGGCCUGCAGUCGAUACGGGCGGACUUGAGUGUUGCAUGGGAGACUGGAAUUCCUGGUGUAGCGGUGAAAUGCGCAGAUAUCAGGAGGAACACCGGUGGCGAAGGCGGGUCUCUGGGCAACUACUGACGCUGAGGAGCGAAAGCGUGGGGAGCGAACAGG